GCGGCCGAGAAUCGCCACUGCUGCAAAUAAAAAAAGAAUGCAAAGAAAGGGGUCGCAAUGGAAGUUACCGAUGCGAAAAAAGAAACUGAAGUCCACUGCAGAUAAAAAAAGAAACAAUGUGGAUAUAUUUUUAAAAAAAAGCCGCAACGGAAGUUAAAGACGCAGCUCACUUCCAUUUUUGAGUUGCAGCGAGCUUCUGUUUCUUUAUUUUUGCAUCGGUUACUUCCGUCGUCACUUCAUUUUUGGAUUCUUUUUUAUUUCCAGCAGUGGUGAUUCUUGGCCAC